rnacentral:lncRNA from 13 species
GGCAAUGUUCCUAUGUGUGUUUACACCUGCCGAUCCUCACCACAGAGUAGAAGGAAGCCAUCUUUCUUACCGUGGGGCCCUUGUUGGAAAGGUCACCAAGUCUCUCCAAGGAGAUGGGAGGAGAGGCCAGAGGACAGGGUGGGGGUGACAGAGGGCCCUGAGGUGGAAUGUUUCCCCAUCUAGGUCAUGAGGGUGAGAAGCCCCACACCACUGGGAUUUGGUGAGGAUGAACUCUACCAUAUAUGUAAAGUGGCUGACAGUGCCUGGCACCAUGUUCGGUAAGUGACACCUGUCAUUGUUGCCUGGGUACAAUUCCUGCAGAUGUGAUCUCUUAUUUGCUCACUCACUCAUCCAGGCCUGAGUGCCGAGCAUAUCACAGAGUUCCUAAGCCUAAAAGGGGUAGGGAAGUCAAAACACCCAGUGAAGUCAUCCCAGCAAGCGAUUGCAGAGCUGGCAGCAUUCUUGGCGAGAAGUUGUUUUUCCUUGCUUGGCUUCCCUUGGUCCCAGGAUGUGCCUUUUGCCUGACACUCUAAAACUUCGUCCCUGGCCUUGGAUCAAAUGGCCUUUUGGGAGAGCCUCCCCGAGCUAUGUGCCAGUGUGCCUCUGCCAGGCCCCUGCUUUAGGCUGAGGACACAUGACUGUCUCUGAUGGGAAUGAGUGAAGAGCUGAAGAUUUUGGUAGAGCGAGGCCAAAUCCCUGUGUGGCUCCAGGAACAAGGAUAAAUAUAGCCAGAGUAAUUGCUCAUGCUCUUUUAAGGAUUAAAAGUCAGCUUUUGGGCAAGCUGUGAAGCUCCAUGAUAGCAAGGGACACAGUUCCUUUUUUAGAGCUGUGGUCGGCACUCCUUGUGCAUUGCUGGAUCCCAGGCCUCCAUGACACUAUUCCCAGUGGAGAAAAGGGAUCACCUUCACUGGUCUACCUGACAUGAGGGAGGGAUGGUCUGAGGUGUUGCUGCCACAUCCCACCGGCCAGCGUGAUGUCUGGCACACGAAAGGCGCCCAAGUAAGCAUUUUUAAAUGGAUGAGUGAGCUGUGAGAAAUUUAUGCUUAAAAAAAACCUUUAGGGUAAGAUCUGUAGUCUAGUUAGCAGUAUCCCAGUGCCAGUUUCCUGGCUUUGAAAUAUACUGUACAACACGGGUGUAAGAUGUCACCAAUUGGGGAAGCUGGGUAAAGGGUAUGUAGGACUC